GUAUAUAUUAUAGACACAACAUUCUAUUGACAUACAUUGGGGUAAAUGAAACGACAUAGACCUGAAAAGGUCUACAAAAGGUGCACAGGUGGAGAUAUAAAAAUGACAAGGCGUGCACAUGCUCCCUAGAGAACCAGCAACAACCCAUCAGGUUUAUUUCAAUAAUGAUCCUUCCGCAGGUUCACCUACGGAAA
rnacentral:misc_RNA from 1 species